rnacentral:rRNA from 1 species
AGUGAACGCUGGCGGCAUGCCUUACACAUGCAAGUCGAACGGCAGCACGGGUGCUUGCACCUGGUGGCGAGUGGCGAACGGGUGAGUAAUACAUCGGAACGUACCUUAUCGUGGGGGAUAACGCAGCGAAAGUUGCGCUAAUACCGCAUACGCCCUGAGGGGGAAGGCGGGGGACCGUAAGGCCUCGCGCGAUUAGAGCGGCCGAUGUCUGAUUAGCUUGUUGGUGAGGUAAAAGCUCACCAAGGCGAUGAUCAGUAGCUGGCCUGAGAGGACGACCAGCCACACUGGGACUGAGACACGGCCCAGACUCCUACGGGAGGCAGCAGUGGGGAAUUUUGGACAAUGGGGGCAACCCUGAUCCAGCAAUGCCGCGUGAGUGAAGAAGGCCUUCGGGUUGUAAAGCUCUUUUGUCAGGGAAGAAACAGCAGCUCUAACACAGUCUGCGAAUGACGGUACCUGAAGAAUAAGCACCGGCUAACUACGUGCCAGCCGCCGCGGUAA